rnacentral:lncRNA from 1 species
CUUCCGUGGGCCUCGGCCCCGCCCCCUCGGGCCUUGCGGGAUCGCAGUGGGCCCCAGCCCUGUCCUGUGACCUCCACCACAACGGGCCCGCCCCCGCCCCUCCCUGCUGUACCGCCCCUCCCCCGCCCCAUCCCUGCUGUACCCCCCCUCCCCUGUACUUCCAUGUACCCCCCUCUCCCCAGCUGACCGCCGCAACCCUAGUGGUUCCCUCCUCUUGACCCUUCACCGCGUCCUCCUAACUCCUGUCCUGCCACCCCCCAAGCAGACUCCUCGUCCCCAGACCCUCUGGCGUGGAGAGGGGCGGGCUGCAGUCUGCUGCGGCCUCCUGCGCGCGGCCUGGGCUUUGGGUGUGGUCAGGCAGCGUCGAGGUGAGGUCACAGGGGUCGCGAGGAGAGAGAGCUGGGAGGGCCCUUCUUGCUCUCCCGGUCGUUACAGCCGUCUGCGGGCCCGCCGGCAGGGUCCUGAGAAUGAGCACUUAGGGCCGCCUUGAGUUGCUGGAGCCAUGGUGGGGGCCCGGGCGCGGGAGGGUGUCCUGGGGGGAGGCAAGUGCAGGGGGUUGCUGGAGCCGCUCCAGCCUGGGGUGACCGUAAUGAGAAAGAUGGCAGCAGAAGCUAGAGGGCACGGGACACCCAAUGGGAUCAACCCCACUGUGUCUCUGGCUGAGGCCCACACACCCGUCUGGCCAGUGGCUGACAGAUGGGCCUAGCAGACCCUGAUACGGCCUCCCUCUGCCUGAGGGGCUCAGGUAGCCGUGGGACCUUUCUUGGGAGCCCCUGCAGUGCAGACAGCAGCCCAAAGGGCCGGAGAUGGACAGCGGAAAGCACUUAUUUAAGGCCCUCCUGGGGAAGAAGCCAGAAUCGCAGCUGUCCCAAGAGGAUGGGCAGCCCUCUGCCACGCCGAGCCCAGCCGUGGCCUGGGGCCAGCCCAGCGCUCAGAGCAGCAGUCAGCAGGUGCUGCAGACUCAGGACUGGAUACCAGCCAGGGACACCAGACGUUUGAGGAAAACCUCUGUCGUGAAGAAGAGCAAAGCACUUGGGAAAAAGGAACCAGAAGAACCAGGUACCAGGCAGAGUGGAGCAGAACGGGAGGUGACCGGCACCACCUUGGAAGAGUCAGCCCACGCAGCAGACCCAGAGGGGCACGGCGUGUGGACACUGGGGAGGGGGCGGCGCGGGCACCAUGUCACGUGCCCGGUCAGCGCAGGAGAGUGGACUGGAAUCCACCCACAGCAGAGGGUUUGGGAAGAGGGUACAGACAACUGUUUGGAAAUUAGUGGCCUUUAUAAAUACAAACAACAGAUUCCAGAAAACAAACAAAUGAAAAUGGCACAUUUGACGACAGAAAUAAACUUAACAGAAAACAACACAAACCCAUUUUAGAGAAGCUUUAAAACACCCCGAAGCAUUAUCAAGAGACUUGGCGAUUGGAGAAGACACUGUGUUCCUGGACAGGAAGGCUCGCCAGCACAGAGGGGCCUCCCCAGGCGUUUCACCGCCCCGUGUCAUUGGCGACACAAAACCCUGAAAGCUUGUCUUCCCUUUUUCGUGUCAGCAAGCUGGUCAAAUGGAAAAAUAAGAACAGGUUCAGCUGUAGCAGGUACGAAUUCGUAUCGCAAACUGUCAGCGCAGUCGGGCCCUGUCUUGACGCACGGACAGCAGAACUGAAUGCCGGCAGACACCUGGUGCAGGCUGAAGACAGCAUCUGAGACCGGGGGGCGGGGGCUGCUGAUAAAUUAUGCUGGGACACUGUAUCUGUCUAGAAGAAAGAAAGUUGUAGCCAUAUCUCUCAGCACCAGGAUAAACUCCAAAUGCGUAAAAGGUUUUAAUGUAGAAGAACAAAAUCAUAAAAGUGCUAGAAAUUCUGGGCAGAUCGCUUUGUACCUGUGGAGUAGGGGUGACCUUUCUAACCAAGCCUGAAGUCCAGAAGCCAUAAAAGCAAAUGAUAUGUUUAACCAGAUGUGAAAAACAAACAAGAAAACCUCUAUUAAGGUAAAAUACAUACCAGGAGCAAAGUCAGAAUAACUGACAAGGAAGCCAAGACUCUUCAAUGGCGGAAGGGCGGUGUUUUCAACAAACGUUGCUGGGAAUUCUGGACCUCUACAAGCGAAAGAAUGAAAUUAGACUCUUACCUAAUGCCACAUACAAAAAUUAGUCAAAAUGGGUCAAAGACAUACACAUAAGAGCUAGAACGAUAAAACUCCUGGAAAAAAAACAGGAUAACUUCAUGACAUUGUGAUCUGGCAACAGUUUCUUAGACGCGACACCAACGGUGCAGUCAGCAAAGGUAAAGGUAAAUUGGACUUGAUCAAAAUUAAAAACUUUUGAUCACCCAAGGACACUAUCAUCAGAGUGAAAAGUCAACUGGUGGAAUGAGAGAAGACAUAACUGACUCCUGAACAUGCGAGGGUUGGGGGUGCGCCCACCCCAGCAGUCAGGAGUCUGAGAGGAGCUUUACAAUCAACUGGCCAUACCUGAGGUUCCACACACUGCAGAGUCACCUGCGGACUGGGCGGUCCUGCAGUACGUACCUGCUGAAAAAGCCCGUCUGUAAGCGGCCCACGAAGUUCACACCGAUAUUCAGGUGUCAGCUGUAUUGGCAGAUCCCAUAUCUGCUAAAGGGUUAAUGUCCUGAAUAUAUAGAAACUCCUAAAACUUGACAGCAACAACAACAAAAAACCCCAAUAACUCAAUUCAAAAAUGGCCAAAAACUUAAAAAAAAGAAAAUGAACAAAAAUGGGCCAAGAGAUAAACAAGGUCCCACCGUGUAGCAUGGUGAACUAUAGUCAACACCUUGUAAUAGCGUAUAAUGAAAAAGAAUGUGAAAAGGAAUGUAUGUACAUAUGUAUAAUUGAAUCAUUGUGCUGUACACCUAGAAUUAACACAUUGUCAGUUGAUUAUACUUCAAUUUAAAAAAACAGGCAAACGACUUAAUAGACACUUGUAGUUAACACACAAGUAGGUAACAAGGACAUGAAAAGAUGCUCAACAUCAUUAGUCACAUGGCAGUGCAAAUCAAAGCCACAGUGUUGGGGGCAGCACAGCUCAGGGGCAGAGCACAUGCUUAGCAUGCACGAGGUCCUGGGUUCAAUCCCCAGUAACUCCAUUAAAUAAACACAUAAAUAAAAACCUAAUUACCACCCUCCCACCCCCCAAAAAAUAAAAUAAGUACAUUAAAAAACACAUACACAAUGAGAUGCCACCUUGCACCUGUUAGGGUGGCUAGAGUAAAAAGAGCAAAUGCUGGGAGGAUGUGGAGAAGUCAGAGCUCUUGUGCGCUGCUGGGGCAACGCAAGGUGUUGCAUUCGCCAUGGAAACAGUGUGGCGGCUCCUCAGAAAAUUAAGCAUAGGGUUACCGUAGGAUCCCACAAGUUCUGGGUGUACGUCUGAAGGAACAGAAAGCAGGGCCACAGGCAGAUGCUUGCACAUCCACGCUCACAACAGUGUGACUCCCAGUCGCUGGAGGGUGGAAGCAGCUGCUGUCCAUCGACAGGUGAAUGUGGUAAAAAUCUACAGCGGUGUGUUACUCAGCCUUGAAAUGGAAGGACGUUCUGACACAGGACACAGCGUGGCUGGACCUGGAGGACGUUGGGCUGAGUGAAAUAAGACAGACGCAGAAAGACAGACAGACUCCUGUGAGGUCCCAGAAGGGGCCGACUCAGAGACGGGAGGCUCAGGUGGGGGAGGGGAGUCAGCAUUCUGUGGGGACUGAGUGUCAGCUUGGGGGGAUGGAAGCUCUGCAGGUGGAUGGCGGUGACGGUCCCUCCACAUGUGACUGUACUGGUGCCAAGGAGUGACUGAAACGGUAACUCUCCCGUUACACGUAUGUUACCACAGUAAAAGCUACAUGAAGAGGGACCCAGAAGCCACUUGAUGGCGGGCAACGCCCUGUGGGGGUGAGUGGGGCUAGUCUGGAAACGGAGCAUCGGGCCGGGACGGGGCCUGGCCCCUGGCGGAAGGGCUGGGGAGAGGGCCGUCCCGAGGAGCUAGCCCGGCACACAGCUCUGAGGGGCCUAAAUAACAGCGGCUGAGCGUGAAAGCGACCCGGAGUCCCCGAGGGACCGGAGGACCCGAGCCAGCGCCCUGGCCCUGGCGCCCCGUCCUCUGGCCCUGCAGGGACGCCCCGGGCAGCAGGGCCCGCAGUGUGUGCUGGAAACGGAGCAUGAGUCGCCCUCCUGAGGGAUCCCCAGCCCCUCCCGUCCCCGCACCACACCAGACGAAGCACCGCGAUGAGGCCCAGGGAACCCGGGCACAGGGGGCGAUGGCGCACACACAAGCCUGCAGGAAAGAGGCCGACUGUCCCCAGAACUUGCAGACCUUUCACAGACAGGGAGCCCCAACUGGCCGGAAAGAAAGCUAAAGGUACUUGGUGUCAGGGACACAAACGAAAUUAAAUCGUUUGACAAAAGGGUGAAAGGCCAGGGCAUAAGGAGCAUUGGCUGAGGUGCAGGGAGCAGAGCUGGCGCCCCCUGCUGGGGGGAGUGGGGCGAGGCGGCCGGCAGGGGCAAAAAGGCUGUUCUGCCGUGGUGGGUGGUUAAACAGUCGGGAUGUUCGUGCAAGUGAGAGUGGACAGCAGUGACGAUACACGAAUUAGCCCGGCAGAAUCCUGGUGGAAACGUCUCAAAAGCAUGUUAGGUGGAAAGCACGUGGAAGACCCUUCCAUACCCUGUGGUUCUGCUGACCUACAUGUUAAGACCAGCGCGGUGGUCUCGUGCCCCCCUCUGUUGGUGGCAGGGGCUGGAAACCGUGAACCCGGACCAGUGCGGCCAGCUCACAGGAUGGAGGAAGGAGUCUCUGAUGAGAUCUCAUCAGUAAGUUUUAUUUCUUGAGGGAAAAGGUUGGAAGCAAGUAUGGCAUUGUUCACUUUGGAUAGUGGAUUCCUGGGUUUUAAAAUAUAUUUUCCUUUGCAUUUUUCUCAGGUGGUUACCAUUCCAUUUUAAACUAAAUGCACACC